rnacentral:misc_RNA from 1 species
CGCAUCUUGCGCCUAUUGGUAUUCCGAUGGGCAUGCCUAUUUGAGUGUUUUGAAUCUCUCAAUUCGAACAUGAUUUUUGUGUUCGACUUGGAUCUUGACUGCUUGCAUCUCGCUUGCGAUGUGCUCAGUCUAAAUGCAUUAGUGUUGUUUCUUUUAGUCUAGAACGAUGCGAACCUAGUAUGAUAAGUAUCUCUACUAGCUCGCAGCGAUCUGUCAUGGCCAAAGAACAUUCGCUUCUAACUUGUCUUCUCGUCGUCAUCCGUGAUGACAGUAAAACACUUUCCAUUUUAACCUCAAAUUAGGUAGGACUACCCGCUGAACUUAA